rnacentral:lncRNA from 1 species
CUACUUCAGAAUGUUGCUAUGAUACAAGAAUUUAAACUCUUUUGGAAAGAUAUGAUGCAUUACUGUCAAGUCAUGAGCCCUUGGAUUAUAAGUUUAUUAUAGCUACUUUAAUCAAGAAAUCUCCACAAAUUUCUUGCCCUCCAAGAAAAAGUUGUAAAUGAACCAGCUGUUAACAACCUUUAUCUUGGUGAAUUCAAUAAUUAUCUAAUGGACAAAGUUCUCUAGAAGAGAAGUGAUAUAAAUAUUCAUUGUGAGGUGAUGCCAGAAAUCGUGGAUCAGGUCUUGGAGAAUGAUCAUUUUGAAAAGUAGCUGUCUAUCCUUGCUUCCUGACAAAAGGCACUCUUUUCGGCUCUCUUUAGUAUCUUUUCAUUUCUGUUAGAUUUCUUUGAACUACAUAAUAAACCACUGAGAAUUGGUUACCAUGAUUUCUACAUAAUACUGAGCUGAUGUUGUAAUCCUGGUGACCAUUUCAACAUCACUAUUUUGAGGCACUAGUGCCUGAAUCAUGAUGAGAUGCUUACAAAACAUAUUAAUUCACCACUCAUC